rnacentral:rRNA from 1 species
UACGUAGGGUGCGAGCGUUGUCCGGAAUUAUUGGGCGUAAAGGGCUCGUAGGCGGUUUGUCGCGUCGGGAGUGAAAUCCACUGGCUUAACUGGUGGCUUGCUUUCGAUACGGGCAGACUGGAGGUAUGCAGGGGAGAACGGAAUUCCUGGUGUAGCGGUGAAAUGCGCAGAUAUCGGGAGGAACACCGGUGGCGAAGGCGGUUCUCUGGGCCUGUUCUGACGCUGAGGAGCGAAGCGUGGGAGCAAACAGGAUUGAGAACCCAGU